UGGAGAUCCUGGAUCCCACUGAUUCUCCUAAUUAGAAGGAACAGAAAAUGAAAGUGUGAAGCAUGGAGCUGCAGCAGCCAUCUUAGGACCAUGAGGGGAGCUGACCUAUGACAUUGAAGGGGACAGGCCAGUACACUGAAGAUGAAAUGGCAAAAGAACUUAAGUCCUUGAUGACCCAAUUUGACUGGAUACUCAAGCUGCCCUAUGGAGAGGUCCAGGUAGAGAAGAACUGAGGCCUCUUGCCAACAACCAUGGGAGUGACCCAUCUUGGAAGAGGAUCCUCCAGCUCCAGUCAGGCUUUCAGAUGACUGCAGCCCCAGCUGACAUUUGACUAUGGCUUCAUGAGAGACCCAGAGACAGAACCAGCAGCUAAGAUGUGCCCAAA